rnacentral:rRNA from 1 species
AUGCUAUGUCGGUCUUUAAAAUUCCUAAAAAAAUGUAAAGGAAUAACCGACGAGAUGUCACAUUUUUGGUGGGGUGAUGACGACAACCAGAGAAGGAUGCAUUGGAUGGCGUGGUGGAAAAUGUGUGUUCCGAAAAGCCAAGGCGGAAUGGGCUUUCGUUACAUUCAUUGUUUUAAUUUGGCGAUGUUGGCUAAACAAGCUUGGCGUCUCCUUGAGAGCCCAGAUUCCUUGUGUGCCACCAUUUUGCGAGCUAAGUAUUUUCCUGAUGGAGAUUUAUUGAACACAAAGUUAAAAAAUGGAUCAUCCUUCAUAUGGCAAAGUAUUAUGGCGGGGGUUAAUACCUUAAAACAUGGCUAUAUUUGGCAUGUUGGAAAUGGUCAGAAAAUUGACAUUUGGGAAGAUGCUUGGAUCCUUAACUGUGCUAACAGGAAAGUCAUCACUCCAAAGGGACAACAUUUGUUAUCAAAAGUGUCUGAUCUCAUUGACCCCUCUUCGAACAGGUGGGAUGAGGAUCUCAUCAGACAGACCUUGUGGCCUGUUGAUUCACAGCGUGUCCUUGCUAUCCCUCUGCCUAAGUUUGAUAUGUUAGAUUUUGUUGCCUGGAGUCAUACUAAGAGCGGGAUUUUUUCUGUUCGAUCUGCAUAUUUUGUUGAGUGGGAUUAUCAACAUGGAAGGAAACUUCGUCGUACUAAUGGAAUGGGUCGAACAAACUUUAAUCCAAUUUGGUGUAAGAUUUGA